GACGUAGGAUGCGAGCGUUAUCCGGAAUUAUUGGGCGUAAAGAGCUCGUAGGCGGUCUAACGCAUUUUUGCUUAAAUUCUCCAGCUCAACUGGAGAUCAGGCAAAAAGAUGAUUAGACUAGAGGAAAGUAGGGGCAAGCGGAAUUCCCGGUGUAGCAGUGAAAUGCGUUGAUAUCGGGAGGAACACCAAUGGCGAAGGCAGCUUGCUAGACUUUUUCUAACGCUAAGGAGCGAAAGCGUGGGGAGCGAAAGGG
rnacentral:rRNA from 1 species